GUGUGGGUCUGGAGCUCCAGACAGUAGGGCCUGCACAGAGAGAAGCAGCCAAGAAUCUGCCUGAAACCUGGGAGGGACAGAGCGGCCAAUCGGGGACACUCCAGGACAGGUGCCAGGAGGAGCACUAUUUCAGGGAGGAAUUGCCCAAAAAGGACAGACCGGAGCUGGCCCCAGUAUCACUGCUAUCCAGAGCUGCAUGGGGCUUUUAUCAUCAUCAUGAAUUGAAGGAUGAGGACACCAAUGGAUCCAACACCACCUAGGAAUAUAACACAAGUUUCAAGAACUUAGGCUUGUCUGCAUGGCACGUUCAUGCAUGGCAAGCCAGUGCAUGAAUCUACAGUACACGAGUUUGCCAAGCAAUAACAUCCUGCCUGGACACUGCCAUGGCACACUUAAAGCUUCUCCAUCAUCUCCUGCAUUUUGUUAGACUCUUAUUAAAUAGCAGAUGCUAACAAAUGGAGGCCAAAGCACUACACCCAUAGUAUCAGCAAAACAAAUCCCACAUUAGAAGGAAGCAACGUAGUCCUGGGAAUACGUCAAGAGAAUGGGAAACAUGGAUCUGGAAUCUAUUCCAGGCUUCGCUACUGACUUGCUGCAGGAUAUUAAUCAAGUUACUCAGGGCCAAGUUGUGAUUUGGAAUACAAGUCCAAGUAACAGAGUAAGAGCAGCCCAGAUACUCCUGCAGGCCCAACAUCCAGGUAGCCUGCAAAAGGGUAAGUGGGAGCCUUGUGCACCUGCUUACUGCUAACUAGAGCUGGCCAACAUCCUUUCAUUAUAAAAA